GAUGAACGCUAGCGGGAGGCCUAACACAUGCAAGCCGAGCGGUAUUGUUUCUUCGGAAAUGAGAGAGCGGCGUACGGGUGCGUAACACGUGUGCAACCUGCCUUUAUCUGGGGGAUAGCCUUUCGAAAGGAAGAUUAAUACUCCAUAAUAUAUUGAACGGCAUCGUUUAAUAUUGAAAGCUCCGGCGGAUAGAGAUGGGCACGCGCAAGAUUAACUAGUUGGUGAGGUAACGGCUCACCAAGGCGAUGAUCUUUAGGGGGCCUGAGAGGGUGAUCCCCCACACUGGUACUGAGACACGGACCAGACUCCUACGGGAGGCAGCAGUGAGGAAUAUUGGUCAAUGGGUGCAAGCCUGAACCAGCCAUCCCGCGUGAAGGACGACUGCCCUAUGGGUUGUAAACUUCCUUUGUAUAGGGAUAAACCUACCCUCGAGAGGGUAGCUGAAGGUACUAUACGAAUAAGCACCGGCUAACUCCGUG
rnacentral:rRNA from 1 species